GAGAAAGAAGGGCGAAGGAAGGAGAGGAGAAGGAAGAUGAAGAGAGGAAAGAAGGCGGAUGGAAACCUGGCACCUCCUGCCCCACAGUAGGUCUUGGUCCUGGAUCUCCACUGUCACCCCGAGGCUGACGCUAGUGUGUAAAAAUAGGCAGGAGAUGGAAAUACUGGAUAGAAGAAGACAACACCCUGGCAAGGGCCCCACCCUCAAGCCUGGAAACCCAAGGCCCUAAAUGGGAACAGGCAGUCCUGUUUUUGGCCCAAAGGUUGCCUUUUGGCCUGCCAUGCCCAUCUAUCUUGUACCCACAUAAACCCCAAAUCCUGGGCUCCAAGAGCAGAUGAACGAACAGAAGAGCAGAAGAGUGGCAGAACUGAGCGGCAGAGAAGGAGAGAAGAGAAGGAGCAUCUGAGUGUCAAGAGGAGUUCAGGUGGGGACAGUUGGAGAGGAGAUUGGCUGCUGGAUGGCCAAACUCCAGGGGAAGAUCAUCUUUUCACUCUAUCUCCUCUCCAGCUCCCCAUCCAUCCCACUGAGAGCCACCUCCAUCAUUCAAUAAAAUCCCUGCAUUCACUAUCCUUCAA